UACGGGGGGGGCAAGCGUUGUGCGGAAUUACUGGGCGUAAAGGGCUCGUAGGUGGCCAACUAAGUCAGACGUGAAAUCCCUCAGCUUAACUGGGGAACUGCGUCUGAUACUGGAUGGCUUGAGUUUGGGAGAGGGAUGCGGAAUUCCAGGUGUAGCGGUGAAAUGCGUAGAUAUCUGGAGGAACACCGGUGGCGAAGGCGGCAUCCUGGACCAACACUGACACUGAGGAGCGAAAGCCAGGGGAGCAAACGGG
rnacentral:rRNA from 1 species